UACGAAGGGGGCUAGCGUUGCUCGGAAUCACUGGGCGUAAAGCGCACGUAGGCGGACUCUUAAGUCAGGGGUGAAAUCCUGGAGCUCAACUCCAGAACUGCCUUUGAUACUGGGAGUCUUGAGUUCGGGAGAGGUGAGUGGAACUGCGAGUGUAGAGGUGAAAUUCGUAGAUAUUCGCAAGAACACCAGUGGCGAAGGCGGCCUUCUGGACGGAUACUGACGCUGAGACGCGAAAGCGUGGGGAGCAAACAGGG
rnacentral:rRNA from 1 species